rnacentral:lncRNA from 1 species
GGAGGUAUAUCAGAAUGUAGAAGGUAUAAUAGAAUGUAGGUGGUAUAAUAGAAUGUAGGAGGUAUAUCAGAAUGUAGGAAGUAUAAUAGAAUGUGGGUGGUAUAAUAGAAUGUAGGAGGUAUAAUAUAAUGUAGGAGGUAUAAUAGAAUGUAGGUGGUAUAAUAGAAUGUAGGAGGUAUAUCAGAAUGUAGGAGGUAUAAUAGAAUGUAGGAGGUAUAAUAGAAUGUAGGAGGUAUGUCAGAAUAUAGGAGGUAUAAUAGAAUGUAGGAGGCAUAUCAGAAUGUAGGAGGUAUAUCAGAAUGUAGAAUGUAUAAUAGAAUGUAGAAAGUAUAAUAGAAUGUAGUAGGUAGUGUAAAGGGUCCUAUGUGUGGCUGGUGUAGAGAGUCAGGCGCAGGACAGCAGAUAUGAGUAAUCAACGUACUUUUACUUAUAAUGUCAAAUAUACAAAGUAACAAAUACACGCACACCAUGACAGACCGAAAAUACAAUAAACAAUCACUCACAAAAACCCAUGGGGGAACAGAGGGUUAAAUAAUGAAACAGUAAUUGUGGGAUUGAAAUCAGGUGUGUAAAACAAAGACAAAACAAAUGGAAAAUGAAAAGUGGAUCGGCGGUGGCUAGAAAGCCGGUGAUUUCGACCGCCAACCGCCGUCCGAACAACGAGAGGGACCGACUUGUGCAUUCAGAAAGUAUUCAGAACCUUUCCCUUUUCCACAUUUUGUUACGUUACUGUCACAAGUAUCUUCGUCUUCUGACGAUAAUGCGAAAUCGUCAUCAGAAAAGGUAGAUCAAUACGCAGCAGGUGUGCAGUUGUUCAUUUUGAACAUUUAAUUAAAUCAACACGAAUACAAAAACAACAAACAAGAAAACGAACGAUAAACUGACAGUCUGCAAAGCAUAGGCUCAACACAGA